GUAGGUGAACCUGCGGAAGGAUCAUUAAUGAGUUGUCAUGGGGUUCGAUGCUGGCAGCCAAUUUUUGGAUGCAUGUGCUUGCCCUAACAAUCAUCUUCCAAACACCUGUGCACAUUUUUGAGGGAGUCUUGAGUUGGUUGCCGCUCUUGGGUGAUUUUCUCACAUUCCCUUAAAUCAUUAUACGCUAUUAACAAUGUUGAACGUGCUCUGUGCCGCAAGGCUAUUAAUAUAAUACAACUUUUAACAACGGAUCUCUUGGCUCUC
rnacentral:misc_RNA from 1 species